CACCCUUGCGCUGGCAGGAUCAGUGAAAGCACCUCUGAACAAAGGAGAAGAGGGAGCCUUACUUUUGAGUGUUCACUUCUACUUCUGAUCUGAAGUAUCCUGGUCCUGAUGGGCUUCAUAGAACAAGACAAAGCCUUUAUCUUCGGGAUGGAGAGUUGACCUGUUAGCUGAACUGUCAGCUAAGCUGUGAUGGUGCAUGAGAGGUACCACGCAAAAUAGUGACACAGCAUUGUUGCUCCAAUCCGCAUCAGGCCAAGCAGCAGCACGUUAGCCUGUGGGGAAAUGGCUGAAGAAUAUUUGGACAGUAAAAGUUUGGAGCAGUGAGGACAUGCAAGUAAGAUGAACUAAAUCUCCCUGGAGUGUCUUCACCUGAAGACGUACCUUGGCAGACCACGUAGGACCACAUUUGGGUGGCGGCAGAUAUGGAUUCCAGUCCACAUCUGUAGAGAAGGAAGGGGCUUAUGGGCUCCUGCGUAUCGGGGAAGCAUACUUAUGUCUAGCAUAUAGGAACCAGCCGUUUAUUCUCAAGUAAUGGUACCCAAGCCACUGGAAAUAUUUGUAUUGCUUUGAGGGGCUCAUAUCUUUUGUUAUGUUUUGCCCUGAUUUGUGAAAUGGUAGUUUUCAGCAAACAAAUGAUUUGCUAACCAAAAAAUAAAAAUAGAGCU
rnacentral:lncRNA from 1 species